GGCCCCAUCGUCUAACGGUUAGGACACCAGGUUUUCAACCUGGCAAUCGGGGUUCGAUUCCCCGUGGGGUCACCA
rnacentral:tRNA from 1 species